GGAGAGCUGUCCGAGUGGCCGAAGGAGCCUGAUUCGAAAUCAGGUGGAGGUGCAAGCUUCCCAAGGGUUCGAAUCCCUUGCUCUCCGCCA
rnacentral:tRNA from 1 species